CUGGCGGCGUGCCUAAUACAUGCAAGUCGAGCGGACAGAAGGGAGCUUGCUCCCGGAUGUUAGCGGCGGACGGGUGAGUAACACGUGGGUAACCUGCCUGUAAGACUGGGAUAACUCCGGGAAACCGGAGCUAAUACCGGAUAGUUCCUUGAACCGCAUGGUUCAAGGAUGAAAGACGGUUUCGGCUGUCACUUACAGAUGGACCCGCGGCGCAUUAGCUAGUUGGUGAGGUAACGGCUCACCAAGGCGACGAUGCGUAGCCGACCUGAGAGGGUGAUCGGCCACACUGGGACUGAGACACGGCCCAGACUCCUACGGGAGGCAGCAGUAGGGAAUCUUCCGCAAUGGACGAAAGUCUGACGGAGCAACGCCGCGUGAGUGAUGAAGGUUUUCGGAUCGUAAAGCUCUGUUGUUAGGGAAGAACAAGUGCAAGAGUAACUGCUUGCACCUUGACGGUACCUAACCAGAAAGCCACGGCUAACUACGUGCC
rnacentral:rRNA from 1 species